AGCUUGGUGGAGCAGAUUUUGGAGGAGGAUUUCUUGCUAUUCGAGUUGAAAGGAAGGCUUGUGGAGCUGAGAAAACCCUUGGGGAAACUUCAAAUCCAGGUAAGCUUGAUAUCUUUUCCUGGAUUGAGUAUUAUUGAUUGCUUAAAGAUGGUAGUAGUAUGUAGAAAACCUUGAGUAUAUGCUGAAAACAGCAUGCAUACAUGUAUAAAUAUGUAUGUGUAUAUGUACCCAGGUUACUAGGGAUGAAAUCUGGAGUGGAUUAGCUCUAAUUUCUGAGCAAAGUGAUGCUAUUUGCUUUAUAAGAGGUUAAACUAGAGAUAGCUUAACUUCUAAAGCUUUAGAAGCUUAGAGAAGCUUUAUUGGCAGCAUGUUUGCAGUUAUUGAUGAGUUGUUAAGAUAAAAACCUAGGAUAAGAUGGUUAAAUACCCUGGUUUGAAGGUUAUGUAGCUACCUUCUAAUGAGAUUUGAACUAUAAAUUAUCUAUUGGAACUUCUAACUGUCAUAGGAAACUUGAAAACUGCAUUAUGCACUUGAAAAACUGCAUUAUGAAUUAGUAGUUCGAAUGAAACCGGGGGGGAUUGAUGAUAUUCCCUGGUUUGAAUAAUGUGCUCUGCUGUAAAGAAGUGUGCACAAUGAAUUUCUUAAGUGCUGAAACUCUAAGUGCUGUGAACUUUAUAGAACUAGCUCUAUGUUGUGUAUGUAUGUAUGUAUAUACAUAUGAAUGAUUAUUAGGGAUGAAACCUGGGCUAAAGUAGCUUUAAUAUUUGAAUUAGAAUGACUUUAAUCCCUAUUUAAAGAGGUUGAAUUAUGAGUGAGUUAACUUCUAAAGGGAUGCAGCCAAAGCUGAAUCCUAUAAAUUAGCUUUAUGUUAUAUGUAGAUAUAUAUAUACACAUAUGAAGGAUGGUUGGGAUGAAAAUCUAAAAUAGAUCAAUCCUAAACCUGGUUUGAGAGAUGUUCUUUGCUGUAAAGAAGUAGUGAACAGGGGUUUUUUAAGAUGCUAAAGCUUCCAAGUGCUAUGAAUCAUAUAGAACUAGCAUUAUGUAUAUAUAUGUAUGUGUGUGUGUAUAUAUAUAUAUAUAUAUAUAUAUAUAUAUAUAUAUAUAUAUAUAUAUAUAUAUAUAUAUAUACUUAUGAUUAGUGUUGGGGGAUAAAGUCUGAGAUAAGAUCACACUAAACCCUGGUUGAAGCUGAUGUCUACUUGUCCCUAAUGAGAAUUAGUAAUAUGUUCUUAGUUGCUAAAGUGUAGAGCUAGCAGGAAACUUAAUAGAAAGACUAUGUAUAUGUAUAUGUUGAUAUUAUAUACAUAUAUGCAAGUUGGAGUCGAAAUGCAAACUUCGUAAAAAUGCGAAUAUGACUUCAGUUUAAGCUGUUUUAUUCCUCAUUGGAGGCAGGUUUGAUGUGCUCGGAAGCUCAAAUUGACAUUCCGACGGACCUACGACGCGCUAAUUAAGAAACGCUUCGUUCUAGUUUCGUUGGCGUCGAGUCGCGAGGGCUAGGUGUUUAUACAUUCUGAGACGUUGGUUCUAACAAUUCGGCAUCCCUACGAG
rnacentral:lncRNA from 1 species